rnacentral:miRNA from 1 species
AUCUCAUCCUGAUCGCCA